rnacentral:misc_RNA from 1 species
UCCUGGUUUCCCAGGCAGUUCUAUCAGAGUGCUUACUAAAAAGUAGUGGCAACUGACAGCAGGGGUUGCGCUCGUUAGAGGACUUAACCCAACAUCUCACGACACGAGCUGACGACAGCCAUGCAGCACCUGUGAUCUUGUCUUGACCGAAGCCAAGAAGAGUACGUUUCUGUACCUGUCAAGAACAUGUCAAGCCUAGGUAAGGUUCCUCGCGUAGUGUCGAAUUAAACCACAUGUUCCACCGCUUGUGCGGACCCCCGUCAAUUCCUUUGAGUUUUAAUCUUGCGAUCGUAGUUCCCAGGCGAAUCACUUAACGCGUUAGCUUCGACACUGAUCCGGCAGAGCCAGACCAACGUCCAGUGAUCAUCGUUUACAGCGUGGACUAC